rnacentral:lncRNA from 1 species
GGUUGGUUGUCCUCUUAACCAAAGAGUGUGGAGACACUGGUAUGGCAUACAGGUGAGAUGUAAGGAUACAUCUGUACUGGACGUGACCGACUCCGGAGCUAUUUCUGCUGUCAAGAUUUACUCCGAUGGGAUAUGGGUAUAACUGUCCCUCCGACCUAAGACCGCCACGGUGACUUGCAAGCAACUCACUGUACUUAGGCACUGGACUAUCUGAAUUUCUAAUUCAGUGACGGAAGGAUGCUGGGUGUAGUCAAGUACUUGACUUGUCGAUGCAUGUG